rnacentral:rRNA from 1 species
UACGUAGGGUGCGAGCGUUAAUCGGAAUUACUGGGCGUAAAGCGUGCGUAGGCGGUUCGUUAAGUCAGCUGUGAAAGCCCCGGGCUCAACCUGGGAACUGCAUUUGUGACUGCAUCGCUGGAGUGCGGCAGAGGGGGAUGGAAUUCCGCGUGUAGCAGUGAAAUGCGUAGAUAUGCGGAGGAACACCGAUGGCGAAGGCAAUCCCCUGGGCCUGCACUGACGCUCAUGCACGAAAGCGUGGGGAGCAAACAGG